rnacentral:lncRNA from 1 species
CUUGUCGGCGGCGUUGCGGGAGGCCUCGGUGCGCCGCUGCACCAGGCCGGAGCUGCGCUGGGUCAGCGAGGUCAUGGCUCCCGCCGAGGCGCCGAGCCGGGCCGAGAGGGUCGCAGGACCGACCGGGUCGCCCUCCUCCUCCCCGCGCGGCCUCCGAUCCGGGUUUCCGUGUUAAAUCCGGACGCCGGGGCGACGUCCGUCGGCAGCAGGGCCGGGGGCAGUCAUGAGGAAACAGGUCAGGGCGAAGCGGGCUGGCCGGGCGUCGGCGGGGCAGGAGAGGAGCGCCUUCCUGCCUGUGGCCGCAGUCCCCGAAACACCCCGAGCUCCAAGGCGGAGGCGGCGGCGGCGCCUUUCCAAUAUGGCGGCCCCGGCUGACGUCACCGGAGGAUGUGGCAGAGUCGGCGCGGGAGAGCUGGGCCGGGAGGCGCCGGAAGCGGCGGCCGGGGAUCCGCUGCCACUGCAGCCUACACCCUUCCCGGCCCUCGGUGCUUGUCUUUUCUUUGGCGUUCCUGCGCCCCCUGACCCGCGGUCCUGCAGUCCUGCUCCCGUGACGUGCCCUCCCUCCUUCCGUUCCCCGUUUCCCCUUCACUACCCAGGGCUGGAGCCUGAACCUGGCGGGGCCCCCCGUGAAUGGAAGAGCCUGGGCCACGCGAAGGUGGACCCCACUCAGCCUCCAGCCGUGCCCUCCACGCCCCAGACACCGCCGUCUUCGGAGGCGACUCCGCGGUCGUGUGGACGGGGUCCCAUUUGGACUCCGGGGUCUGCAGGAUCGGCAGGAAGGACUUUGCUCUCUGCUGCUGGGCGGGGAGGGGUACGCUAUCUGCCGGGACUCCCUAACCCUUUAGAAGGAGCAAGUGCGUCCAAAUGGUUUGAAAGUGGACCUUUAUUGUUUUCCAGGAGUAAGAAGAUAGAACAGUUGACCAGUUUUGUUUGUAAAACUUCUUUCCUUGCCUCGGACUUGUGCUAUAAAGUGACCAGGGCGUAGUGAGUACAGUUAGUACCGCACACGUUAGCACGCUCGACCUUAACGAUCUUUUUAUAGAGACAAUAAACCUGCAGCGUUUCAUGCCACGUCUUUGUACGCAUCGGAUGUCUCUCCGUGUAGUUACUAGGUGAAAUCCUCUUGGCGUGCGCAAAUUAGGUUAAAAAAAUAGCUGUCAAACCUGAGACAGGAGUUGGAGGAGUAGAGGGUGGCGCUUGUUAAGUGAAACAUUUAACCAGGAAUGGUAUUGUGUGCCAUCCUGUAUUAAACAAUGUAUGGACAGAGUGGAACAACAGCAAAGCAAAAAAUAAAAAUUUUUUAAAAAAAGUGAU